rnacentral:rRNA from 1 species
CCUACGGGAGGCAGCAGUGGGGAAUUUUGGACAAUGGGGGCAACCCUGAUCCAGCCAUUCCGCGUGAGUGAAGAAGGCCUUCGGGUUGUAAAGCUCUUUCAGCUGGAACGAAACGGUACGCGCUAACAUCGUGUGCUAAUGACGGUACCGGCAGAAAAAGCACCGGCUAACUACGUGCCAGCAGCCGCGGUAAUACGUAGGGUGCGAGCGUUAAUCGGAAUUACUGGGCGUAAAGCGUGCGCACGCGGAUUGUUAAGCAAGACAUGAAAUCCCCGGGCUUAACCUGUGAAUGGCGUUUUGAACU